CAAUAGCGUAUAUUAAAGUUGUUGCGGUAAAAAAGCUCGUAGUUGGAUUUCUGUUGAGAGCGACCGGUCCAUACCAUGUAUGCGUAUCUGGCUUGCUCUCGGCGUCCUCUCGAUAGACGUUACUGCGCUUGAUUGCGUGGUGCGGAUCUCGGGACUUUUACUUUGAGGAAAUUAGAGUGUUCACGGCAGGCUUUCGCCAGAAUACAUUAGCAUGGAAUAAUACUAUAGGAUCUUGGUUCUAUUUUGUUGGUUUCUAGAAUUGAGAUAAUGAUUAAUAGGGACAAUUGGGGGCAUUCGUAUCAACACGUCAGAGGUGGAAUUCUUGGAUUGUGUUGCGACGAACUACUGCGAAAGCAUUUGCCAAGGAUGUUUUCAUUGA
rnacentral:rRNA from 1 species